GAGCACCGCAAUCGAUAGUUGUCUGCCAUCCCGAGACUUUAGAUGGAAUGGAUUUUCGUGAAAUAAAUAAAUUGAAUUGGCGUUUAAAUCUUAAUAACAACAACAGUCUUGUCGAAUACAGCAGUGCCGUGAACAAGUACACAACUUCCGAUGUGCCGGACGAGCAUCCAAAACUCCUCAGACAAAUCGAUUGUGCGACAGGGGCGACAAUGGGCACGAAACAGGCACCAACAACACCAGCCUCAGCCUCUACCAUAGGCGCCGAUGAUGAGGGGGGUGGUGGGGGCGCCGUGGGGACAGGAGACUGCGCUGCAGCGGCGUUGGCUGUGGCUGUGUCGGCUCUUGAAACCGAAGGCGGCGGCAGCGGUGCCGUCGGUGAUAAGAUUGCAGGCGCGGCGGCCGCCUACUGCGCCUUGGAUCUGGAUGUAGCCGGCUAUGGAAUGGCAGCUGCCGCCGCUGCCUUAUCGCCCACCGAUGCGGCUUUUGGUGGAGGCGGUGGCGGCGGCCUCAGCUCCAGCCGCACCUCCAUGAACAACUCCACGGAGAACCUGAGCUACGCCAGCGACAACUUUUACGGCGACGAUCUCAUCCUGCUCGACGACGACGAUGUGGAGGCCGAGGAGAUAUCCCUUAAUUCGGACGACUGUGUGUACGCGUAUCGCGGCGACGGCGCCGACUUUGACCUCUCGAUGGAUGCCGCCGCCAUGGGACGUGGCGGACGGCACCAUCUCGACUUUGGACUGCCCGUGGGUCUUCCAGAUCUGCUCGGCGCCGAUGAUGAAACCGAGUUUCUGGAAAUGGACUUCGAACCGGAUCCCUCCUCCGAGCUGGAGUUUGCCAGCGGUGCCCAGGAUCUCGGCGCCCUGCCUCAGGCCAAUCUUCUGCUGAUGCAGCGGGACUACAGCCAGAUGAGCGGCAUGGGCAUGGUCACGCCCACGCAGGGCAGGCAGCUGUACAGCUCGCCCAUCGAUGAUUUCCCCCAGGAGGAUGCCCUGCAGCAGCAGAAGCAGCGUCUCAACAAAAAGUUUGCCCGGAUUAGUCUCAACCUGGAUCAGAUCAAGGACGGCACUGGCAGUGGCGUGGACAUGGACUUGGAUGAAUUGAUUGGCGGAACAGAGGAGGAGGGUGGUCAGCCUCAUGGCAUUGGCCAGCUGGCGGACACAGCGCUGGCCCAAUCCCUGCCCAGCACACUGUACACCGGCUCCAGCUUCAGUCGGAGCACCAGCGUGCCCAGCGAUCAUCCGGAACCGAAGCUGACGGGCGCCAAGCCCAAGCGACUGUCCAACUCCUCGUCGGUGAUGUCCAAGAGUAGCUCGUCCUCGAAGUCGCGGCGUUCCCAGCCCUCGGCCAGCUUCGAUGAGCGCUGCUACAGCUGCACGGACUUUCGAGCGACUUCCGCAUCCUCCUGCCAGCAACUGCCGCUGCAGGGUGCCGAUACGGUGGCUCCCAUGCUGGUGGCUGCAGCGGCCGUGGUGGCCAUGGCCGCAUCAUCCUCGUCUAUGGCACACUUUGACCUGACGAGCAACAACGAGGAAAACUGCCUGGACUGUCUGGAGAAGGAGUUUCUGGCCAACACCAUUGGCAAGGCCCUCGAUAUGAGCACCUGCACCAAGUGCCGGCGCAGGGUGGGCAGCAACCGAGGCAGCAGUCUCUCCCUCUACACCCGGGCGGAACAAACACGAUGUCGCAGCGGAUCGCCGGGUUACUUUGAUGAGGCUGGGGGCCUGUUUGCCGGCUGGCAUAGCGGUGCGGCUGGUGCCGGUCCCAGUCUGGGUCCCGCCUAUAACCAAAGGUUUAUUUCGUGUGAUAAUAAUUUUGGCGGCGUGCAGCUGCUCAAGCAAAGCUUUUCGACUGAGCUGCUGGUGGCGCGUCUGUCCACAGGACAACUGUGCGAUGAGGAGCAUCUGGUGCAGGCGCUGGACAAGCUAAAAAUUUCCUAUGACAAAUCCCUGCUGCACACAUACUUCGAACAGCUGUCCAAGCCGCCAGUCAGCAGUGCUGGGAAUCUCAAACAGCUGCUGCUGCAGGCCUCCAAGCGGCAGUGCAACCACCGCAAGCUCAAGAAGCUGAUCGAUCUGGUCACCCAGCAGCAGCUUCGUGUGCAAUUUAAAAGGACAAGCGAAGGGGAAACCACUGCUUUGGUGCCCGUUAAGGUGGCGGAUAUUUUGGAUUCCUGGGCCCGCCAUCGAGAUCUCUCUGUUUUGCGGCAACUGGAUGCGCGUUUCCAUCGCGCCAAUGUGCUGGGAAAAGUUGGUCAAAUUGUGCGCCAGGCAGCUGCAUCGUCGUUUGCAGCAGCGGCUGCUGCCGGCUCCUCAACCUCAACUUCGGCGACGCGGCGAUCUUUGCCCGAGUUUCUGAUGAUACCGCAGUAUUAUGUAAGUGGAGAGCUGACAUUAACGCGCAAAUGUUAGAGGAAGGACCCACGCACACGCAAACGCAAACGCACACGCACAUUCAUCUACAGACAGAAACACGAACACCCACAACACACUAAAAAUCAAAUGAAAAUUGUAUGCUUAGCUGCGUUUUAUGUUGAAAUUCCGAUUGAGGAAACGUAUGAGAAUCCAUGGAGAGAAUGUAAGAAUCCCCCCCAUGUUUAGUGUGUACUUAAACAAAAACAAAAAAAGAGAGAAAGGGUGUAAUCGUACGACGUUACUCCGAAACAAUUUAAUCGUUAACCGAGUUUUGCAAUAUCGAUAUAGUUACAGUACAGUACCGCCCCCGCCCAUUAUCUAUGUAUAUGCCACACACGCCCUCUAAACGUAUAUCACCUACAUACGCAUAUACCAUAUAUAUACAUAUAUAUAUAUAUAUAAACAUCCAACAAUACAUACAUACAUCAUUAUGUAUAACUCGUACAUAGCUUAGCUUGUAUACUGAAAAACAAAAACAAGGAAACAAAAGAAAUCUGAAUAAACUCUAAGUAGGAAAGUAAAUCUCAGACAGACACACACGCCACAGCAUACAGCAUACAGCAUACAGCAUACACUUCAGACAGCCCCAAAGGAGAGGAUCAUCCAGGAUAUUAGUGGAAGACACAACAGGCAGGACUACGACUCCGACCCGACUCCCUCCUCCUGCCCUGCUCCACCCUCGACUCGACUCCGAUUUGAUGUAAAACGUCUUUGGCUGGCAACCCUAGCGGCGGGUGUUGGUAAACAGUACAAAA